rnacentral:rRNA from 1 species
AGUUAAAUAAUACCAAUCUUGGUCUACAGCCAAUCCCGUCUGAUCUCGAAAGCUAAGCAGGGUCGGGCCUGAUUAGUACUUGAAUGGGAGACCACCUAGGAAGACUAGGUGCUGUAGGUG